GAUGAACGCUGACAGAAUGCUUAACACAUGCAAGUCUACUUGAUUCUACUUCGGUAGUUGAUGGUGGCGGACGGGUGGGUAACGCGUAAAGAAUCUGCCCUUUAGUUUGGGAUAACCUUUGGAAACGAAGGCUAAUACCGGAUAUUAUGGAGACGUCGCAUGGCGACUCCAUGAAAGCUAUAUGCGCUAGAGGAGGACUUUGCGUCCCAUUAGUUAGUUGGUGAGGUAAUGGCUCACCAAGACCGCGAUGGGUAGCCGGCCUGAGAGGGUGAUCGGCCACAAGGGAACUGAGACACGGUCCUUACUCCUACGGGAGGCAGCAGUGGGGAAUAUUGGACAAUGGGCCACAAGCCUGAUCCAGCAAUUCUGUGUGCACGAUGAAGGUCUUCGGAUUGUAAAGUGCUUUCAGUAGGGAAGAAAAAAAUGACGGUACCUACAGAAGAAGCGACGGCUAAAUAUGUGCCAGCAGCCGCCGCCGUAA
rnacentral:rRNA from 1 species